rnacentral:tRNA from 1 species
GGGCGAGUAGCUCAACGGGAGAGCGCCUCCUUUACACGGAGGAGGCCGGGGGUUCGACACCCUCCUCGCCCACCA